AAACUAACAAGGAUUCCCCUAGUAACGGCGAGUGAACCGGGAAGAGCUCAAAUUUGAAAUCUGGCGUCCUCAGGGCGUCCGAGUUGUAAUCUAUAGAAGCGUUUUCCGCGCCGGACCGUGUAUAAGUCUCCUGGAACGGAGUAUCAAAGAGGGUGACAAUCCCGUGCUUUACACGACGACCGGUGCUCUGUGAUACGUUCUCUACGAGUCGAGUUGUUUGGGAAUGCAGCUCAAAACGGGUGGUAAACUCCAUCUAAAGCUAAAUAUUGGUGGGAGACCGAUAGCGAACAAGUACCGUGAGGGAAAGAUGAAAAGCACUUUGGAAAGAGAGUUAAACAGUAUGUGAAAUUGUUGAAAGGGAAACGAUUGAAGUCAGUCGUGUCCAUUGGGUUCAGCCGGUCCUGCCGGUCUACUCCCUUUGGACGGGUCAACAUCAGUUCUGACCGGUGGAUAAUGGCACGAGGAACGUGGCACCCCCAGGGGUGUGUUAUAGCCUCGCGUCGCAUACACUGGUUGGGACUGAGGAACGCAGCUCGCCUUCAUGGCCGGGGUACGCCCA
rnacentral:rRNA from 1 species